UUUCCUUAUAAAUCUAGCCUCUACUAGGCUUUGUCUGUGCAUUCAAAAGCCGAUCAGACAUAGCCUAUAAGAGGUUAGGUGUACCAAGGCGA
ncrna:Drosophila erecta microRNA der-mir-282 precursor